UACGUAGGGGGCGAGCGUUAUCCGGAUUCAUUGGGCGUAAAGCGCGCGUAGGCGGCCGCCUAAGCGGAACCUCUAACCCCGGGGCUCAACCUCGGGCCGGGUUCCGGACUGGGCGGCUCGAGUGCGGUAGAGGAGAGCGGAAUUCCCGGUGUAGCGGUGAAAUGCAUAGAUAUCACGCAGAACCCCGAUUGCGAAGGCAGCAUGCCGGCUUCCGACUGACGCUGAAGCACGAAAGCGUGGGGAUCGAACAGG
rnacentral:rRNA from 1 species